GACGAACGCUGGCGGCGUGCCUAAUACAUGCAAGUCGAGCGGAAGUUGGAGAGCUUGCUCUUCAACUUUAGCGGCGGACGGGUGAGUAACACGUGGGCAACCUGCCCUGCAGAUCGGGAUAACUCCGGGAGACCGGUGCUAAUACCGAAUAGUUUUCGCCACCUCCUGGUGGCGUACGGAAAGACGGUUUCGGCUGUCACUGCAGGAUGGGCCCGCGGCGCAUUAGCUAGUUGGUGGGGUAACGGCCCACCAAGGCGACGAUGCGUAGCCGACCUGGGAGGGUGAUCGGCCACACUGGGACUGAGACACGGCCCAGACUCCUACGGGAGGAAGCAGUAGGGAAUCUUCCGCAAUGGACGAAAGUCUGACGGAGCAACGCCGCGUGAGUGACGAAGGUUUUCGGAUCGUAAAACUCUGUUGUGAGGGAAGAACAAGUACCACUUAACUACUGGUACCUUGACGGUACCUCACCAGAAAGCCACGGCUAACUACGUGCCAGCCGCCGCCGUAAGAC
rnacentral:rRNA from 1 species